ACACUGAGGCGUGACGACGAGGCACUACGGUGCUGAAGCAACAAAUGCCCUGCUUCCAGGAAAAGCCUCUAAGCAUCAGGUAACAUCAAAUCGUACCCCAAACCGACACAGGUGGUCAGGUAGAGAAUACCAAGGCGCUUGAGAGAACUCGGGUGAAGGAACUAGGCAAAAUGGUGCCGUAACUUCGGGAGAAGGCACGCUGACACGUAGGUGAAGUGAUUUACUCAUGGAGCUGAAGUCAGUCGAAGAUACCAGCUGGCUGCAACUGUUUAUUAAAAACACAGCACUGUGCAAACACGAAAGUGGACGUAUACGGUGUGACGCCUGCCCGGUGCCGG
rnacentral:rRNA from 1 species